UACGUAGGUGGCAAGCGUUGUCCGGAUUUAUUGGGCUUAAAGGGUGCGUAGGCGGUUCCUUAAGUCAGUGGUGAAAUACUUCAGCUCAACUGGAGAGGUGCCAUUGAUACUGGGGAACUUGAGUACUGAUGAGGUAGGCGGAAUGGACGGUGUAGCGGUGAAAUGCUUAGAUAUCGUCCAGAACACCGAUAGCGAAGGCAGCUUACUAAAGAGUAACUGACGCUGAGGCACGAAAGUGUGGGGAUCAAACAGG
rnacentral:rRNA from 1 species